rnacentral:rRNA from 1 species
GCACGUAGUUAGCCGGUGCUUAUUCUUACGGUACCGUCAUUAGCCCUCUUUAUUAGAAAAGGCCGUUUCGUUCCGUACAAAAGCAGUUUACAACCCGAAGGCCUUCAUCCUGCACGCGGCAUGGCUGGAUCAGGCUUGCGCCCAUUGUCCAAAAUUCCCCA